UUGACAAAUUCUGACUACCUGGCAUCCCGAUGCAGAAGGAACAUUCUAGGCCCUGAAGACCUGGGUUUUGUUUUGCCUUUUCACAAGCAAUCCUUAAUACCUCAAUUUUAAAAGUGUACUGUUUUCCUGCUGGAGGGAAGCCGAGUAUUAAAACUCAUUUUAGGUGGUAGGUAUUUUAAAUAAUUGCCUAAAUUGGUGAUGUAGCUCAGAUAGUAGAGUGCUUGCCUGGCAUUCAGGAGCCCCUGGUUCAGUUUCCAUCUUCUGGGAGAUGGAGGCAGAAAGAUCAGCAGUUCAGGAUCACCCAUGCGUGGAGUACAUCUCUUAACUACUCAAGUGUCCCUGCUGGAAGUACUUUGCCUCAAUGUUGACAAAGCACACUUGUGCUUGGAAACACAGUGAUUUACCUUCCAGGAGGACCCCAACAGCCCAACUGUCAGAGAGACUGUGAUCAGUGCUGUGUAGGAGGAGCUGGGAGGAAGGAUGUCACAUUCAAUUCAGAGUCCAUUAGGACCCAGACGCUCCCCUGCAAUAAAUUCCUAAUCCAGACAGCGCAUGCAAGUAAGUACUGUCAUUUACAGGUGGUGCUACUGAUACUUAGAGGG
rnacentral:lncRNA from 1 species